rnacentral:rRNA from 1 species
AUAGAGUUUGAUCAUGGCUCAGGACGAACGCUGGCGGCGUGCUUAACACAUGCAAGUCGAACGGAGAUUCAGCAAUGGAUCUUAGUGGCGAACGGGUGAGUAACGCGUAGGCAAUCUGCCUUCUAGAUGGGGACAACAUCCCGAAAGGGGUGCUAAUACCGAAUGUUGUAGUUGGUCCGCAUGGACUAGCUACUAAAGGUGGCCUCUGAAUAUGCUACCGCUAGAAGAUGAGCCUGCGUCUGAUUAGCUAGUUGGAGGGGUAAUGGCCCACCAAGGCUUCGAUCAGUAGCCGGUCUGAGAGGAUGAACGGCCACACUGGGACUGAGACACGGCCCAGACUCCUACGGGAGGCAGCAGUGGGGAAUCUUCCGCAAUGGACGAAAGUCUGACGGAGCAACGCCGCGUGAGUGAAGAAGGUUUUCGGAUCGUAAAGCUCUUUCGUCAGGGACGAACGUAUUUCUUGU